NUUAGAGCACCACCUUGACAUGGUGGGGGUCGUUGGUUCGAGUCCAAUUGAACGCACCA
rnacentral:tRNA from 1 species